AGGUAGAGAAUACUAAGGCGCUUGAGAGAACUCGGGUGAAGGAACUCGGCAAAAUUGUACCGUAACUUCGGGAGAAGGUACGCUCUUUUUGGUGAUGGCACUUGCUGCUUAAGCUGAGGAGAGUCGAAGUGACCAGGUGGCUGCAACUGUUUAUUAAAAACAUAGCACUCUGCAAACUCGUGAGAGGAAGUAUAGGGUGUGACGCCUGCCCGGUGCCGGAAGGUUAAUUGAUGGGGUUAUCUUCGGAGAAGCUCUUGAUCGAAGCCCCGGUAAACGGCGGCCGUAACUAUGACGGUC
rnacentral:rRNA from 1 species